AGAUUGAACGCUGGCGGCAUGCCUUACACAUGCAAGUCGAACGGUAGAGUAGCAAUACUCGAGAGUGGCGAACGGGUGAGUAAUAUAUCGGAACGUGCCCAGUCGUGGGGGAUAACGUAGAGAAAUUUACGCUAAUACCGCAUACGAUCUAAGGAUGAAAGCGGGGGAUCGCAAGACCUCGCGCGAUUGGAGCGGCUGAUAUCAGAUUAGGUUGUUGGUGAGGUAAAAGCUCACCAAGCCGACGAUCUGUAGCUGGUUUGAGAGAACGACCAGCCACACUGGGACUGAGACACGGCCCAGACUCCUACGGGAGGCAGCAGUGGGGAAUUUUGGACAAUGGGCGAAAGCCUGAUCCAGCAAUGCCGCGUGCAGGAAGAAGGCCUGGUUGUAACGUA
rnacentral:rRNA from 1 species